CAGCAUAUACAAUAGAAUCCUCAAUACUCGUACGUCUGUGACAAGUCCUACGCGUGCAGACUAACCCCGCUAAGGGUCUACAAAACACCCUGUCAAGGGUGCCCCGGUUCCGACAUAUCCAAGUGUCCCAAAAGUUUCCAAGUAUCCAAUCCAUGUAUUCCAAAACAAGGGAGGUACAAAGGGUAGUGCUAAUAGCACUUCAAACUGACAUAAACCACAACCCAACUCACAUUCCAUAAUCCCUUUCCCACAACCCAACUCCCAG
rnacentral:lncRNA from 1 species